AACGUAGGGUGCGAGCGUUGCUCGGAAUUACUGGGCGUAAAGCGCGUGCAGGUGGUCUUCUAAGUCCUAUGUGAAAUCCCUUGGCUUAACCGAGGAAUGGCAUAGGAAACUGAAAGACUCGAGUACGGCAGAAGUGGGCGGAAUUCCCAGUGUAGAGGUGAAAUUCGUAGAUAUUGGGAGGAACACCGGAGGCGAAAGCGGCUCACUAGACCGUUACUGACACUCAUACGCGAAAGCGCGGGUAGCAAACAGG
rnacentral:rRNA from 1 species